CAUGGGGGAAACCCUGAUGCAGCGACGCCGCGUGGAGGAAGAAGGUCUUCCGAUUGUAAACUCCUGUUGUUGAGGAAGAUAAUGACGGUACUCAACAAGGAAGUGACGGCUAACUACGUGCCAGCAGCCGCGGUAAAACGUAGGUCACAAGCGUUGUCCGGAAUUACUGGGUGUAAAGGGAGCGCAGGCGGGAGAACAAGUUGGAAGUGAAAUCCAUGGGCUCAACCCAUGAACUGCUUUCAAAACUGUUUUUCUUGAGUAGUGCAGAGGUAGGCGGAAUUCCCGGUGUAGCGGUGGAAUGCGUAGAUAUCGGGAGGAACACCAGUGGCGAAGGCGGCCUACUGGGCACCAACUGACGCUGAGGCUCGAAAGUGUGGGUAGCAAACAGGAUUAGAUACCCUGGUAGUCCAAGGGCGAAUUC
rnacentral:rRNA from 1 species